UAGUGGCCUACCAAGGCGACGACGGGUAGCCGGCCUGAGAGGGUGACCGGCCACACUGGGACUGAGACACGGCCCAGACUCCUACGGGAGGCAGCAGUGGGGAAUAUUGCGCAAUGGGCGAAAGCCUGACGCAGCGACGCCGCGUGGGGGAUGACGGCCUUCGGGUUGUAAACCUCUUUCAGCAGGGACGAAGCGAGAGUGACGGUACCUGCAGAAGAAGCACCGGCCAACUACGUGCCAGCAGCCGCGGUAAUACGUAGGGUGCAAGCGUUGUCCGGAAUUAUUGGGCGUAAAGAGCUCGUAGGCGGUUUGUUGCGUCGGCUGUGAAAACCUGGGGCUCAACCUCAGGCCUGCAGUCGAUACGAGCAGACUAGAGUGUUGCAGGGGAGACUGGAAUUCCUGGUGUAGCGGUGAAAUGCGCAGAUAUCAGGAGGAACACCGGUGGCGAAGGCGGGUCUCUGGGCAACAACUGACGCUGAGGAGCGAAAGCGUGGGGAGCGAACAGGAUUGGAUACCCUGGUAGUCCACGCCGUAAACGUUGGGCGCUAGGUGUGGGGCUCAUUCCACGAGUUCCGUGCCGCAGCUAACGCAUUAAGCG
rnacentral:rRNA from 1 species